UUCUCCGUUCUCCUUUUCUGUGUUAUUAGUGGAGGGGUAAUCAUGGAUGGCGGUGGCUCACCCACGGCGGAGCGGAGGGCCUGGGUUCUCCGGCGACGGGGGUUGAAUCGGUGAAGGCCAGUGGAGCGAGGAGCCGGGAAGGUUCCAUUCGUCCUCCUCCUCGUGCUUUUUGUCGCUAUCUGGGUGCGAGAGGCAUGGCUUUACGUGGAGGUCAUGGAGCUGGGUUCCUCCAUGCGGAAGCUUCCAGCGAGCUGGCAGGCAUAUUCCUAAAAUAAAUGGAGAGAUUCCUUCUAUUGACGAAGCCUUCUUGGAUCACCGCAGACUACUUGACAGACAAUCAACCCUGCAGUUUUAUAUCCAUCUAGAUUACUUUUCAAACUUCUACAACCUGAAGCUAAUUAUAUGAUCCUUUGAUUAUUUUUCUUUUAAAAGGUUAAGUGUCUCUCAGUUUCUUAUUUUCUCUCUGUCCUCCUCAAUGUACAAUGUUCAUUUCUCAGUCUUUUCAUUUGAUCAUUCCUUCUCUUUCUUCAUUAUUCAGUGAUAGUGAUCAAUGCUCAUUGGCUCUUGGUCUCUUAGUUUCUAUGCUAAUGUGUUACCAGUCCUCAUUAUUUAGUUCGCACACCUCAUUCUGCUUACAUAUCUUCAUUCCUUAUCUAUGUUCAGUCCUAAUUUUAUCUCUUCCUUUUUCUUUGUCUUAUUUACUCAUUUUAAUUUCUUCAGUGUUUAUUUUAGCUCAAAUUCUCAGUAUUUAUUCUUAAUUUCUACAGUUUAUCUUAAUUUUUUUAGUUUCUCUAUGUCCUAAAUCUUAUCAUUACUCGGUCGCUCUUUCUUGAGUAGUUCAUUCUUUGUCACUCUUUCUCGAGAUUCUCUGUCACUCUUUCUUCAGUCUUAAUAUUUGUUAUUAAUUUCUUCAGUUUCUCUUCAUUAUUUCAUCAUUAUUUCAUCAUUAUUUUAGUCUUAUCAUUCUUUGCCUCUAUCACUUGUUAUCAGUUCUUAUUUCUCUAUUUCUUCAGUAAUUGCCACUCUUUCUUGUUAUUGGUACUUAUUUUACUCUUUCUUCAGUAUUUCUGUAUUUUCUUCAGUUUAUUUUCUCAGUUAUUCUUCAGCCUUCAGUAUCUCGUUGUGUAGCUUCAUUUGCGAGUCAUUUCAGUUUAUUUUUAUUUUUCUCAGUUAUUCUUUAACUCUUUGUCUUGUUUGUUUGUCUCUUUCUUCGGUAUUAGUACUUCAUUCUCUAUGUCUCUUUCUAUUUCUAAGUUUUUAUCUCACUCGUUGUAUUAGUACUUCAAUGUGCCUCUUUCUUCAUUUAUCUCAGUUUCUCUCAUUCUUAAUUAUUUUCGUGGUUUUAGUAUUUCAGUGUGUUUCUUCAGUCUUGAUUUUAGUUCUUUGGUUCAGUCUGUAAGCGACAUUUUAUCUAUUCCUUGGUACUUCUUUCUUCAGUCCUGAUUUUAGUUCUUUGGUUCACUGUCUUUCUUCAGUAUUGAUUUUAGUUAUUCUUUGGUUCAGUCCAAGCAACAAUUUAUCUAGUCUUAGUUCAGUUUUAAUCAUCAGUUUUAUCAUUCUUCAGUCUUAAUCUUUAUUCUCCAGUCUUCUUGUUUUAUUUUUAGUUUAGCCGGUGGUUAUGCUAGGGUGGAGCAAGUUGAGUGGAGCAGCGGGUGUAUCGCGCUACUCCAUCCCAGCAGUCAUCGAUGUGCUGCUCAUCUUCAUCGAUGGUUCAACGGCGGCGACUUUCUUCUCAAGACCACCCGCUGCUGCUCCUCCCCAAGAACAGAACGACUUGAAUCUCCCAAUUAUUCUGUUGUUAUUUCCUUGGUGAUCCUGAAAUUCGUGUGAAGUAGUAUUGUGUGAUGUGAAUUUGUUUAGUUAUGAGACUUAUGCUUGUUUCCAUAUUGUUUUUUGAGAAUUAGACCGUGGCCUUACCAAUUUGCUUAUAUCAGUCAGUGAAUGUUUUUCUAGUGUUGUCCUUUAUCAUUUAUUAAUCUCUGUAUAUUUUUUCUUUGUGUGGGAUGAUCUUGUAUUGCCUUUAGUGGAAAAAAUUGCUCUAUUUUUCUCA